rnacentral:rRNA from 1 species
UACGGGGGGAGCAAGCGUUGUUCGGAUUUACUGGGCGUAAAGGGCGCGUAGGCGGCCAGCACAAGUCAGUUGUGAAAUCUCCGAGCUUAACUCGGAAAGGUCAACUGAUACUGUGCGGCUAGAGUGCGGAAGGGGCAACUGGAAUUCUUGGUGUAGCGGUGAAAUCGUAGAUAUUCGGAAGAACACCAGUGGCGAAGGCGGCUCACUGGACUGGUAUUGACGCUGAGGUGCGAAAGCGUGGGGAGCGAACAGG